GCCGAAGUGAUGGAAUUGGCAGACGUGACGGACUCAAAAUCCGUUGUGAGUGAUCACGUGCGGGUUCGAGUCCCGCCUUCGGCACCA
rnacentral:tRNA from 6 species